AUAUAUAUAUAUAUAUAUAUAUAUAUAUAUAUAUAUAUAUAUAUGUCUUUUGGAGAAAGCAUUAAAAAAAAAAUGUGUUGGUCUAAAAGGUGACUUUGCUUUUUCAUGAACUUCCCGCAUCACUCUCCAAAGACAAUUAAAUAGCCAAAUAAAGGGCUUCCAAUUUCAGCACUUGGAAUUCUACCGUUAUCUGGUGGAAUAACUUCAACCACAACCACCGUACGUCGUCCUAUUCAUAUUUGUCGAAAUUUCGCAUCUUCAUCCUUUCAAUUUUUAAACAAAUCUUGGGUCGUAUAAGUUUAAGCAAUUGCUCCAUGAUUUCCAGAAGAGACAAUGGGUAAAGGGAUGUAGUAAUCUUAUCCGUUGAAUGCUUCGACUGAUGUAGUUGCUGUGGCAUCUGACGAAAUCAACAACACAACGAGGAUAUGAAACUUGCAGGAAGGAUUUAUAGUCUUGGCCAUAUCAGCGCCAGCAAUCCGGGGGAAGAAUUAUGGCUAGACAAAGAUGCGGUAUCCAGACUACACUGAAACAUAAUCAGGUCUUCAGUAUAAGCUCAACUACUGGAUAGUAUUCAUGUUUCUAAAUUUUUAUUUUUAUUUUUUUUUUUGUUGGUGGAAUCUAAAUUUUUAUUCAUAUACAUGCAUUCACACACAUUAUAUUAUUCUUUUUUUAUUUUUGCUUUUUAAUUUCUAACUAAAAAAUUGCGGGACUUGAGAGUCGGAGAUGGCACUCAAGCCUAAGAUGGGAAAGAGUUGUGGUAAGCAUUUUUUUUUUUUUAAAUGCAAUGCUUGUUGGCGUAAAUUUUCUGUAACUCGGCUAAUUUAAAUCUAAGUAAUUCAGGUGUAUUGCUUUCAGACUAAAUGAUUUCUUCCGUUUUGUGGGAAAUAGCAUUCUUUUAAACUAGGAUAUCACUUCUUGAAAGAUUCAUUUUAUUUUGCUGAAAAUAUGGACCAGGGACUACAAUGGAAUAAUAUAGAAUCAGCAAGCAAAGAGAUCCCUUCUACUAUGUUGUUAGAGCCUUGACAUAUAUUCCUAGGGGCCAGCCGUCCUCACUUUUUACUAUUGACUAAAAGAUCUGGCAAAGAUAACGGUGAUGAUGAUGAUUAAGGUUUUUUUGAAUUUCUUAAAGAUAUUUUCAUGCUUCAGUUAAACAGUAUCUUACAAUAUGUUAUUAUGAGAAUGGAUUUCUUCAAUUGGUUGUUUAUCUAUAGUUGGCACAGUUAAAAUAAUUUAUGAACAAUGAAUGAUUGGGAUGGUUACACAAUAAGAUACUAUGGCCGCAUACUUUGAAGCCUGAAACAAGUGUCACUGGACGGGAGUUCUAGCCCCAUGCAGCACUUAGGUGUCCCUUGGCCAGGGCCCCCAGGUCAGCCUCUCCCUAUCUGGCAAGCUCACAUAAGCCCAAAUAAUAAACAUCUUCGAGGUUUCUGGCACGUACCUGUAUAGAAUCACACUAGUUAACUCCAUAGGGCAAGAGACAGCUUGUGACGGUCUUGCCAACUGCCAAGAAUAAGAGUGGGGAACUUCCGAACCGUUACACAAGACAUAGGGUGGUUCCUUUGUGGUAUGAAUUGCUUCUACAUUUCUUGAGUAAAGGCACAUGACUAGCUUAACAAUGUUCUGCAGUUUCCUGAUAUGCAGGCAAAUGAGAAGGACCUUUUCAAAUUCAAACUACGAUCUGGCCAGGUGAAAACUUAUUUCCUAUUUGAAAGAUUGAGCAACGUUAUCCUAAUAUUUCAGAUGGAACUACACGUUUGUGCUCAUUCCUUUGUUAGGAACUUUCUCCUCUACUAUUAAUCUUUAUCUGCAUUCAUGCUUUUCUUUGAUCAUUACAUUUGCAGUGUGUCUACUCAGUAGUUUUUUCCUUUUAUGAGAUUAUAUCAGAAGCUGGCAAUAUUUGUUCAGUUGUGUGGUGCAACUGCACUGAUUGGGAUUGAAGUUGAGACUUGAGCAUGAUUUGAUCAUGUUGGUUUUGUUACAAGGUUCACGUGAUUCCUUUAUACUCAAAAUUGAGAAUUUUAAUGGGGAUGCCUGGUUCUUGAACGUUCAGGUGAGGUAAUAACUGCUUUUGAGGAAGCUGUUUCAGGCAUGGCUUUGGGUGGAGUUAGAAGGUGCUGCAUCUGGUUUUCUCCAAUAUAUAACCUUUGUCAUGGAAAUAUAAAUAUAAAUAUAAAUAUAUAACCUUUGGCGGAGUUAGGCAGGUGGACCAAUUUCUCAAACGAAUCCAGUCCUCGUACAUAGUCAUUUUGUUGGUCCACCUAGAUCUUUUGGUUUUGUGGAUCAUUCUACUUUUCCAACUUACUUGGGGCUCAGACAGUGGGGUUCCAAAUAUAAUGAACUUGUGAUGUAUCCGAUAUUCGAGGACAUCAGCAUUAGCCAAACACUUGAUUUUGUUUGUUGGAAACUUGAAUGAACCAACAAUUAUCAUCAUAAAUAAUCAUUCAAUGCUUGCUGAAGAUAAUUCUAUCCUGCUUUUUCUUUGAA